CCGAUGUCGACCGAAACGGAGUAACAUGCUACGAAAGUGCUCUAUCCCCGCCUUACCCCCCACAGGCAACACUGCCUACAGUUUUCACUAUAAUUGUAAGCAAUAACUUCUGCUGAGGGAAACGGCAUCAUUGAGUGAGUAUUUUUGCUCCUUCUCUCUGGACUGAACUGUCAUUCAAAACACAACAAAGAAUGGAUCGAGACUCAAUUUGUUGUCCAAUAAUGAAUACGCAGCAGCAAUAACUUGCCGUGCAACAAACCGAGCCGAGCAUCAUCUAAAAAGAGAUUCCUGCACCGGUGGCAAAUAUCCUAUCGUCGGAUUUCUCCAUGACGGUUAUUUGGCAUUCAGAGAACGGCAUUCAGCAACGGAAUAGGCAAAAGAAUGGCAGAAAUUUCCGAAACUAAUAAGAUCACGGGAAUACGCGUCAUAGCGUUAUAACUAUCAGAAACACCGCAACAAAAAUGUGUUUUGGUGUAUUAUAAUAUAUGCUGCAUGCAGUGAGGAAGACGCUAGGAAUCAUUCCCAGCAUGAGACGUUUCGAUUUAUUAAUUAAUCACCGUCGAGCCGAUUCAUAUCGCUCUAUAAGGCUAACAAUCGGAAACCGCCCGAUUGAAUCAUGCUGAUAAUAUUCUGGAUGUAGAAACAUUAUUGAUAUUAGCGCAUUACCAUACGGAUUCAUCUGCUAACGGAGAACAUUUUCUAUGUGAUCCGAAAAGUUCCUUAUUGGCAACGGUUAUGAAUAUGGAUAUUCCUGGAGGAUCCAAAUUUAAACCAAUCAUCGAGGAUAAUAGCUUCAGUGGUGAAUAUUUCAAAGUCAAAGAGAAUGUCAUGGUAGGUUUUCAAGAAUCAGGUAAUCAGUAGUGUUCAGGUAAUAGCUGCUAUUCAAACAAUAUAACAUCAUUGGAUGUCGAAAAAGGUCUCAUUUGCUAUCAUGCACAGCAACACAACAUGUUUCAGUUUUGGUUUGAAUGUUUUCAUCAAAAUUGCGUCAAUGCACUAAGACUGGUACCAAGCUCCAAACACUGGCUCCUUCAAUAGAGAGGACCUCAAUUCUUUCAGUGUACAUUUUCGGCCCUGUCAUCAUCUCGCUAUCGUUGUUGAAUCAAGAAAAAAAUCUGAGAAAAAAAUCAUUCGUUCAAAACAUUCGACCUCAAACUGCAUCAGGGAGAUUUACUGGCUUUUGGAGGCUCAGACAAGAUGAUUGACAGUUUAUUAUACGUAAUGAAUGAGAGAACACAUUCCGGAACUGAAGUAGUUUGAGCUGUGCAGGUUGUGUGGUUUUGUUAACCAUUGUGAAUUGUUACGUUAAUGUAAACAAAUCGUUAUUCUCACAAUGUCCAGUAUGAGCGAUCCAUCAAUCCAAUACCAGACGAUGUCAGUGAUUAAUAUGAUACAGGGAUAUAUUGUAGAGUUGUGUUUCACAGCCACUGUAAUUGUGAGUGUGACGAAAUGUUGAUCAAACUAAGUAGU